CCUACGGGUGGCAGCAGUGGGGAAUAUUGCACAAUGGGGGAAACCCUGAUGCAGCGACGCCGCGUGCGGGAGGAAGUAUCUCGGUAUGGAAAGCUCCAUCAGCAGGGAAGAAACUGACGGUACCUGACUAAGAAGCCCCGGCUAACUACGUGCCAGGAGCCGCGGUAAUACGUAGGGGGCAAGCGUUAUCCGGAUUUACUGGGUGUAAAGGGAGCGUAGACGGCUAAUCAAGUCAGAAGUUAAAACCGAGGGCUCAAAUUUGGGACUGCUUUUGAAACUGAGUAGCUAGAGUGCAGGAGAGGUAAGCGGAAUUCGUAGUGUAGCGGUGAAAUGCGUAGAUAUUAGGAGGAACACCAGUUGCGAAGGCAGCUUACUGGACUGUAACUGACGUUGAGGCUCGAAGGCGUGGGGAGCAAACAGGAUUAGAUACCCUUGUAGUC
rnacentral:rRNA from 1 species